rnacentral:rRNA from 1 species
AUGUGAUCGUCUCUCGCAUAUCAAUAAGCGGAGGAAAAGGGGUACCUACGCUUAGGAUGUUGACACACGCGCGUGCUCGGCUCUAUACAUGACUCUGUGCAUAUCAAUAAGCGGAGGAAAAGAAACUAACAAGGAUUCCCCUAGUAACGGCGAGUGAAGCGGGAAGAGCCCAAAUUUGAAAUCUUAAAGGGUUUCCCUUUACGAAUUGUAGUUUAAAGAAGUGUUUUCUGUUGAGGUUUUGGUAAAAGUUCUUUGGAAUAGGACAUCAUAGAGGGUGAGAAUCCCGUAUUUGACCUUUACUUUCAACUUUGUGAUACACUUUCAAAGAGUCGGAUUGUUUGGGAAUGCAGUCCAAAAUGGGUGGUAAAUUUCAUCUAAAGCUAAAUAUUGGCGAGAGACCGAUAGCGAACAAGUACCGUGAGGGAAAGAUGAAAAGAACUUUGAAAAGAGAGUUAAACAGUACGUGAAAUUGUCAAAAGGGAAGCGUUUGACACCAGUGUUGUUUUUCUGAAAAUCAAUUAAAGAACUGUUUAUGCUAAGUUGUUUAGACUUUAUCAGCUAACUGUUUAGUUUUGAGCUUUUCUUUAAUGCACUUUUCAGUUAACAAGUCAACAUCAAUUUCUUUUGCUGUAAAAAAGCUUGAGGAAGGUGGCUUGAGAUUCGUCUUAAGUGUUUAUAGCCUCUUGCCUAUGCAGUCGGAGAGAUUGAGGUCUGCAGCGUAGAUCCUUCGGGGCUAAAUGCAUUUGUGCUAAGUUAUAGCAUUUUAUAGACAACUUGUUGACUAUGAUUUGUCUUGUAGCUUACUCGCUUAUGUUAUUUUACCUACGCUUAGGAUGUUGAACGCGCACAGAGUCUC